ACACCGAUGGUGAAACGGUAUCAUGCUUGCCUUCCAUAGGCUUCCAUCCUUUAGGCGUGAGCAAGCGGCGUGGGUUCGACUCCCGCUCGGUGUA
rnacentral:tRNA from 1 species